rnacentral:rRNA from 1 species
AUUGAACGCUGGCGGCAGGCCUAACACAUGCAAGUCGAGCGAGCGGCGGACGGGUGUGUUAUGCCUGGGAAUUGCCCAGUCGAGGGGGAUAACAGUUGGAAACGACUGCUAAUACCGCAUACGCGUGGGUUGCCCAGGGGGGAUGGGCUAGGUGGUGGGGUAAUCGCUCACCAAGGCGACGAUCCCUAGCUGGUCUGAGAGGAUGACCAGCCACACUGGAACUGAGACACGGUCCAGACUCCUACGGGAGGCAGCAGUGGGGAAUAUUGCACAAUGGGGGAAACCCUGAUGCAGCCAUGCCGCGUGUGUGAAGAAGGCCUUCGGGUUGUAAAGCACUUUCAGCGAGGAGGCGUUACUCGCAGAAGAAGCACCGGCUAACUCCGUGCCAGCAGCCGCGGUAAUUC